rnacentral:rRNA from 1 species
CCUACGGGGGGCAGCAGUGAGGAAUAUUGGUCAAUGGCCGGAAGGCUGAACCAGCCAUGCCGCGUGAAGGUCAGUGCCCUAUGGGCGUUAAACUUCUUUUGUGCGGGAGCAAUAAUGGUCACGUGUGGCCAGACGAGAGUGCCGUACGAAUAAGCAUCGGCUAACUCCGUGCCAGCAGCCGCGGUAAUACGGGGGAUGCAGGCGUUAUCCGGAUUUAUUGGGUUUUAAGGGUGCGUAGGCUGGGAGGUAAGUCAGCGGUGAAAUGCCCCCGCUCAACGGGGUGAAGUGCCAUUGAUACUGGCUGGCUUGAAUGCGGAUGCCGUGGGAGGAAUGUGUGGUGUAGCGGUGAAAUGCAUAGAUAUCACACAGAACCCCGAUUGCGAAGGCAUCUCACGAAUCCGCGAUUGACGCUGAUGCACGAAAGCGUGGGUAUCAAACAGGAUUAGAUACCCUGGUAGUC